AUUGAACGCUGGCGGCAGGCCUCACACAUGCAAGUCGAGCGAGCGGCGGACGGGUGAGUAAUUUUUGGGGACUGCCCGCCUGAGGGGGAUAACCACUGGAAACGGUGGCUAAUACCCCCUACUAUCGGAUCACCCAUAUGGGUUUAUCUAGUAGGUGGGGUAAAGUCUCACCUAGGCGACGAUCUCUAGCUGGUCUGAGAGGAUGAUCAGCCACACUGUGACGGAGACACGGCCCAGGCUCCGCCGGAGGCAGCAGUGGGGAAUAUUGCACAAUGGGCGCAAGCCUGAUGCAGCCAUGCCGAGUGUAGGAAGAAGGGCUUAGGGGUGUAAAGUACUUUCAGCGGGGAGGCGUUACCCGCAGAAGAAGCACCGGCUAACUCCGUGCCAGCAGCCGCGGUAAUAC
rnacentral:rRNA from 1 species